AAUCGCACCACCUUUCUUUCAGUUUUUGAUUUCUUAUUAGAGUUUGCAAAUAUCAAGUCCUAGUUGUUAUUGUUUUUGUUGCAGCGUUGUUGUUAUUAUUGUUGUCCUGUUGUGAUGUCUCCUUGGUUUGUGAGCUGUUGUGGUGGUUGUUUGUGAGGUUCUUUUGUUGUUGUUGUUGCUACUUUUUGUUGUUGUUCUUAUUGUUGGUUGUUGUUGGGGUGGUGAUGUCGCAGUGAUUGUUAUUGCGCUGUUGUGGUCGUGGCAGUGUUCUGUUAUUGUUAGUGUUAUUGUUGGUGGUGGAUGUCAAGUUGUUGUUGUUGCUUAUUGUUAUUGGGUUUUCUUUGUUUAGUUGUUGAGGUUGGUGGUGGUGAUGAUGGUUGUAGUGGUGUUGUUGUUGUGUUUGGUUGUAAAGGAUUUCUAUAUUGACAAUUAAGGAAAUUAGAAGGUUAAAGGUUGAUAAUUUCUAGAUUGAGAUUACCUAUGAUUAUAUUUCCUAGUUUAGAUUAGUUUAAGUUUGGUUUUUAAUUAUCGUUAUAAUUGUGAGGUGAUUCUUGGAGGAUGAUUUUGGAGAUGAAGAUUAUUGAAGGUGGUGUUGGAUUUGGAUUGCGAUUCAGGUUUGGUAUCAAAGGCUCGGAAUUGGAAGUGGAGCAAGAUCAAGGUGUCAUAGUGGCUUAGUUACAAGCUUGUAAUUUAGAUAGUUGGUUUGAGAAUAGUUAUUGAUAUUUUCGAUGUAUAAUAUUUGGGAAUCUAGUUGAGAUAAUUGUGUUAUUUUAAGGAUUUUAUUUUGUGGGCCAAUAACCCACAGGUCCAGGAUCGAUUUCUAGGUUAUAUUUCCGCUGCGAGUUAAGUGUUUAAGUUGAGGCUUAUUAAGCUUUGAUUAUGAUUAGUG